AUUGAACGCUGGCGGCAGGCCUAACACAUGCAAGUCGAACGGUAACAGGAAACAGCUUGCUGUUUCGCUGACGAGUGGCGGACGGGUGAGUAAUGUCUGGGAAACUGCCUGAUGGAGGGGGAUAACUACUGGAAACGGUAGCUAAUACCGCAUAACGUUGCAAGACCAAAGAGGGGGACAUUCGGGACUCUUGCCAUCGGAUGGGCCCAGAUGGGAUUUGCUAGUAGGUGGGGUAACGGCUAACCUAGGCGAAGAUCCCUAGCUGGUCUGAUAGAAUGACCAGCCACACUGGAACUGAGACACGGUCCAGACUCCUACGGGAGGCAGCAGUGGGGAAUAUUGCACAAUGGGCGCAAGCCUGAUGCAGCCAUGCCGCGUGUAUGAAGAAGGCCUUCGGGUUGUAAAGUACUUUCAGCGGGGAGGAAGGGAGUAAAGUUAAUACCUUUGCUCAUUGACGUUACCCGCAGAAGAAGCACCGGCUAACUCCGUGCCAGCCGCCGCCGUAA
rnacentral:rRNA from 1 species